rnacentral:lncRNA from 1 species
CAUCACAAGCUUUUUGUCUUCACAGUUUUGAGUUCCUUCUUUGCUGUUUUUCAGGUGACAGAGCUGGUGCACAAUCUAUAACUUGCUCAAGGUUGGCCAGAAACCUGUGGCAGAAAGUAGAAUUGCAAUACCCUUACAAUUACGGUUGCAAAAAUGUUUAAACUCACUUCUAACAGCCAUCAUCCAACUUCAUCUUAUUUCAUGUGAAAUCUCAGCACGUGUGGAAUUUUUAGAGCAUCACUAAACCUAUUAUGGAAAAAUACACUGGGAGGACCUCACAAGGUUUCUUUGACCCUGAAUGAGAUUAGUAGAACAUUUGGGAUCCUAGACAGAUGUAUCAAGUCUUUCUGUGAUUAUGGAGA